rnacentral:tRNA from 1 species
CGGGGGAUGGCGCAGUUUGGCUAGCGCGCUUGAAUGGGGUUCAAGAGGCCGAGAGUUCAAAUCUCUCUCCCCCGA